AGGCAUGAAUCAUUCAGUAAUGGAAUUUACAAUGACAUGCAGGAAUACGCCACAAUCCCAGAAAAAGGAGGGCUCAAUAAACCACUCAAUCCUUGUGUUGCUGAGGGCAUGGUGAUGUAUAAUCUUGAGGAAUCCUGAGGAAUAAACACUUAUUGGAGCAGCAUUGUAUGUUUCAUUUGCUGCUAUACUGCAUAUUCAGGAAUUAAUACCAAAAUACCUAUGCUUAUUUCAUUUACUUUAGCAUGCUUAAAUAAAUCCUGCCAUGCACUGUGAAUCUUUAGUUACAUUAGUUAAUACCAUUAGUAAAUCUGGACUUAUAGCUUGACAAUAUACUAAAGAUGC